rnacentral:rRNA from 1 species
UUUUUAAAUUGCUGUGGUAUUUUGACUAUACAAAGGUAUUGUAAUAAGAUUUUAAUUGAAUGCUAAGAGAAUGGAAUUUCAGAAAAAAUCUUUUUUAAAAUUAAUAAUUGAAGUUAUUUUUAUUUGUGAAGAAGCAAUAAUAUAAAUUUAGGACAAGAAGACCCUAUGAAUUUCAAUAUUGUUUAUGUAAUAACAUUAUUUAAAUAAUAUUUAAUUGGGGCGAUUUAAAAAUAUUAAUAACUUUUUUUGAAAAAAGAAUUUGAUCCAUUAAUAAUGAUUAUAUGGUAAAAUACUCUAGGGAUAACAGCGUAAUAAUUUUGAAUAGACCUUAUUGAUAAAAUAGUUUGCGACCUCGAUGUUGGAUUAGGAUACUUAUUUAAUGAAGAAGUUAAAUAAAGAAGUUGUCACUUAUCGGC